rnacentral:rRNA from 1 species
AGAGUUUGAUCCUGGCUCAGAGUGAACGCUAGCGGCGUGGUUAAGACAUGCAAGUCGAACGAUGAAGCCCAGCUUGCUGGGCGGAUUAGUGGCAUACGGGUGCGUAACACGUGAGCAACCUGCCUUGAAGUGGGGGAUAGCCCGGGGAAACCCGGAUUAAUACCGCAUGUGGUCCCUAUUCGCAUGAAUAGACGACUAAAGUUUGUAAUGACUCUUCAAGAGGGGCUCGCGGCCUAUCAGCUUGUUGGUGAGGUAAAGGCUCACCAAGGCUAAGACGGGUAGCUGGUCUGAGAGGACGAUCAGCCACACUGGAACUGAGAUACGGUCCAGACACCUACGGGUGGCAGCAGUUUCGAAUCAUUCACAAUGGGGGAAACCCUGAUGGUGCAACGCCGCGUGGAGGAUGACGGCCUUCGGGUUGUAAACUCCUGUCACCAAGGAACAAACGGCAGGUUCAUAGCCUGUCCUGAGUUAACUUGGAGAGGAAGAGGUGGCUAACUCCGUGCCAGCAGCCGCGGUAAUACGGAGACCUCGAGCGUUACUCGGAUUCACUGGGCGUAAAGAGUAUGUAGGCUGUUCGGUAUGUCAGGUGUGAAAGCCCGGGGCUCAACCCCGGAAUUGCGCCUGAAACUACCGGACUCGAGGCCUGGAGAGGAGAGUGGAAUUCCUGGUGUAGCGGUGAAAUGCGUAGAUAUCAGA